GCCCCCAGUGGCGCAAUGGGUCAGUGCAUCCAGCUGCUAACCGGAAGGUUGGUGGUUUGAGCCCACCCAGGGAUG
rnacentral:tRNA from 1 species